GAUGAACGCUGGCGGCGUGCCUAAUACAUGCAAGUCGAGCGAAUGGAUUGAGAGCUUGCUCUUAUGAAGUUAGCGGCGGACGGGUGAGUAACACGUGGGUAACCUGCCCAUAAGACUGGGAUAACUCCGGGAAACCGGGGCUAAUACCGGAUAACAUUUUGAAACGCAUGGUUCGAAAUUGAAAGGCGGCUUCGGCUGUCACUUAUGGAUGGACCCGCGUCGCAUUAGCUAGUUGGUGAGGUAACGGCUCACCAAGGCAACGAUGCGUAACCGACCUGAGAGGGUGAUCGGCCACACUGGGACUGAGACAUGGCCCAGACUCCUACGGGAGGCAGCAGUAGGGAAUCUUCCGCAAUGGACGAAAGUCUGACGGAGCAACGCCGCGUGAGUGAUGAAGGCUUUCGGGUCGUAAAACUCUGUUGUUAGGGAAGAACAAGUGCUAGUUGAAUAAGCUGGCACCUUGACGGUACCUAACCAGAAAGCCACGGCUAACUACGUGCCAGCCGCCGCGGUAA
rnacentral:rRNA from 1 species